ensembl:lncRNA
CGACAACAAAGACAAAACUAUGACCUGCAAAAUGUGUCACUAAGCAACAGAGCACCUUUGUAUAUCACAGAGAAAGGUAGGAACACAAAACAGGAAGAAGCUUAAAUGUUUGCAGUGGACAGGAAAUGUGAACACGUCACACAACUGCUGUGGUCAAAGCUACAGGAGCUGUUUGAGGUUGGUGUAAAAGGAAGGAAGCACAGAGAGGUGAUAGAAGGAGGAGCUGAAUAUAAACUCUGGUCUUAUCUACAUUAAGUGCAGCUUCUCUUUGUUCUGCAUUUAUUAUCAAUGCAAAGUCGAACACUUUGAGAUUAGAUGCAGAUCAGCGUGCAGGGCUGGACGUGAGGAUGGGGCACUCUUUGCUCUGUUUGCUGGGGUUAUUCUUGCUCAGUACAGUCAUCCAUGGAAACACUGAAGAACUUGGAGUGAAGGCCACUCUGACAGCAGACAGAUUAACCAUACCAGCAGGGGGCAGUGUGACACUGACCUGUGAUGUGAAACACUCUGCUGACUUUGAAUAUUACUGGUUCAGAGAAGCCCGUUUAUACUCUAAUCAGAAGACCGCAGUAGUUGGUGAAUCAAACAGAGAACUUGUGACCUCUGAAGGCGGCAUCUACAACUGCAGAGGACGUAUAAAAGGGACAAAUUCAAUCACAGUAGAAAGUAACUCAGUCAUCAUUCAGGAAACUGGACAUGGAGUGAAGGUCACCGUAACAACAGACAGCACAACCAUACCAGCAGGGGGCAGUGUGACACUGACCUGUGAUGUGAAACACUCUGCUGACUUAAAAUAUGAGUGGGUCAGAGAAACCUCAUCUGCAGUGAAGUCCACAGAAGCUGUUGGAUCAGAUAAAGUGAUCAAGAUCUCUAAAGGAGGAAAAUACCAAUGCAGAGGAUGGAGAACAGACAUAACUUCACUCAUAGCACAAAGUGAUCCAGUCACCAUUCAGGAAACUGUAACUGUGUCAGGAGCUGACAGCUCUUCAUCUCCUGUGUGGUUGAUUGUUGGACUGGUUUGUGGAGUCUCUCUCAUUAUUAUUCUCCUGCUCUUGUUGUAUCGCUGCAGAAGAACCAACAGUGAGACCUUUUUCUUUACUUACUACAAACACUUUAUCAUUCAAAGACACAAAUGCAUCACGAGGUCCAUGUAAAUGCAAAAGUCUUAUUUUACAUUCUAAUAAAGGUCCUGCUAACGAGCAGACGCUCAAUCAGGAUGAAGAUCAGCAGCACGUGUACUCCUCUCUUCUUCAUGGUGAUCGUUGUGUCUAUGAGACAGUCAGAAGAUGUGAAAACACUGAAAAUGGUCCAGCAGAAGGUGAUUACACCAAUGUCACAUCUGUGAUUCAGCUCAAAGUCGUUAACAAGACAAGGCAACGUGGUGACCCAGAGGAGAGCUCUGACUACAAUGAUGUCAAUGCAAAUUCAGCCACAGCUCUAAAAUCUUAACAGCAGCUCUUUAGCUGUUUUUCUCUUUUUCCUUGUAAAGUCUCUUUGAACUUGAAGUGACUUUGAGUGAAAAGGAGAAGAUUUUGAAUUCAAAGCAAUGAUCCUGACAGCCUGAGUUUAUAUUUCCUUUAGAAAAAAUCGCUCAGUGUGUUUCACUUGUUUCUCUCCCAUUAGAUAAUAAUUUUAAUAAACUGAUCUACAGCA